rnacentral:ncRNA from 1 species
GACCGAGGGGCGCUGCAGCAGGCUCGGCCUGUCAGGCUCGGUUGGGGCGUUGUCCGCGCAAGCGGACGCUUAACGCACAACGGCGCCCAUUCGC